rnacentral:rRNA from 1 species
UACGUAGGGUCCAAGCGUUAAUCGGAAUUACUGGGCGUAAAGCGUGCGCAGGCGGUUGUGUAAGUCAGAUGUGAAAUCCCCGGGCUCAACCUGGGAAUUGCAUUUGAGACUGCACGGCUAGAGUGUGUCAGAGGGGGGUAGAAUUCCACGUGUAGCAGUGAAAUGCGUAGAGAUGUGGAGGAAUACCGAUGGCGAAGGCAGCCCCCUGGGAUAACACCGACGCUCAUGCACGAAAGCGUGGGGAGCAAACAGG